GACAGAGGGUGCAACCGUUGCUCGGAAUUACUGGGCGUAAAGGGCGUGUAGGCGGGGAGGCAAGUCGGGCGUGAAAGCCCCAGGCUCAACCUGGGAACUGCACUCGAAACUGCCUUUCUUGAGUGCCGGAGAGGAAAGCGGAAUUCCUGGUGUAGAGGUGAAAUUCGUAGAUAUCAGGAGGAACACCAGUGGCGAAGGCGGCUUUCUGGACGGUAACUGACGCUGAGACGCGAAAGCGUGGGGAGCAAACAGG
rnacentral:rRNA from 1 species